rfam:Biomphalaria glabrata isolate BB02 unplaced genomic scaffold LGTN_random_Scaffold2765, whole genome shotgun sequence.
GUGGCUGAGCUGUACAGCGCUGGGCUUCCGAACCAGUGGCCGGGGUUCGAAUCCUGGC